rnacentral:rRNA from 1 species
GAUGAACGCUGGCGGCGUGCCUAAUACAUGCAAGUCGAGCGAACAGACGAGGAGCUUGCUCCUCUGACGUUAGCGGCGGACGGGUGAGUAACACGUGGAUAACCUACCUAUAAGACUGGGAUAACUUCGGGAAACCGGAGCUAAUACCGGAUAAUAUAUUGAACCGCAUGGUUCAAUAGUGAAAGACGGUUUUGCUGUCACUUAUAGAUGGAUCCGCGCCGCAUUAGCUAGUUGGUAAGGUAACGGCUUACCAAGGCGACGAUGCGUAGCCGACCUGAGAGGCUGAUCGGCCACACUGGAACUGAGACACGGUCCAGACUCCUACGGGAGGCAGCAGUAGGGAAUCUUCCGCAAUGGGCGAAAGCCUGACGGAGCAACGCCGCGUGAGUGAUGAAGGUCUUCGGAUCGUAAAACUCUGUUAUUAGGGAAGAACAAAUGUGUAAGUAACUAUGCACGUCUUGACGGUACCUAAUCAGAAAGCCACGGCUAACUACGUG